AACCAAAAUAGUGCUUUGGGACACAAUUCGAAUCAAACUUCAUCAAAGAUCUGUUGCUACUUUGUUCUGUGCAAAAAUGGAUUUGUUGCUUUUAGAAAAGAGGGAAAAAUGAGGUGAUGAACUGAUUGGGUUUGUUGAUUUUGUGGGGAGAAAUGCAUUAAAGAUCAAAAGGAAACUGAUUUUGAUAGAAGACUUCAUUUAAGAGUGAAAACUGAUUUUUGAUUGAAGACUGCGUUCAAGAGUGGUGUUG
rnacentral:misc_RNA from 1 species